AUACGUAGGGGGCGAGCGUUGUCCGGAAUGAUUGGGCGUAAAGGGCGCGUAGGCGGCCUGUUAAGUCUGGAGUGAAAGUCCUGUUUUCAAGAUGGGAAUUGCUUUGGAUACUGAUGGGCUUGAGUGCAGGAGAGGUUAUCGGAAUUCCCGGUGUAGCGGUGAAAUGCGUAGAGAUCGGGAGGAACACCAGUGGCGAAGGCGGGUAACUGGACUGCAACAGACGCUGGGGCGCGAAAGAGUGGGGAGCAAACAGGAUUAGAUACCCUGGUAGGCCCCACUGUAAACGAUGAAUGCUAGGUGUAAGAGGUAUCGACCCCUUUUGUGCCGGAGUUAACACAAUAAGCAUUCCGCCUGGGGAGUACGGCCGCAAGGUUGAAACUCAAAUGAAUUGACGGGG
rnacentral:rRNA from 1 species